rnacentral:rRNA from 1 species
CGGCGGACGGGUGAGUAAUGUCUGGGAANCUGCCUGAUGGAGGGGGAUAACUACUGGAAACGGUAGCUAAUACCGCAUAACGUCUCCAGACCAAAGAGGGGGACCUUCGGNCCUCUUGCCAUCAGAUGAACCCAUAUGGGAUUAGCUAGUAGGUGGGGUAAUGGCUCACCUAGGCGACGAUCNCUAGCUGGUCUGAGAGGAUGACCAGCCACACUGGAACUG